rnacentral:rRNA from 1 species
ACCCGGCACAAGCGGUGGAUGAUGUGGAUUAAUUCGAUGCAACGCGAAGAACCUUACUACCUUGACAUGUCCGGAACUUGCCAGAGAUGGCUUGGUGCCCGAAAGGGAAUCGGAACACAGGUGCUGCAUGGCUGUCGUCAGCUCGUGUCGUGAGAUGUUGGGUUAAGUCCCGCAACGAGCGCAACCCUUAUCAUUAGUUGCUACGCAAGGGCACUCUAAUGAGACUGCCGGUGACAAACCGGAGGAAGUGGGGAUGACGUCAAGUCCUCAUGGCCCUUAUGGGUAGGGCUUCACACGUCAUACAGUGGUCGGUACAGAGGGUUGCCAAGCCGCGAGGCGGAGCCAAUCCCACAAAGCCGAUCGUAGUCCGGAUUGUUCUCUGCAACUCGAGAGCAUGAAGUCGGAAUCGCUAGUAAUCGCAGGUCAGCAUACUGCGGUGAAUACGUUCCCGGGUCUU